UGUGAGAAACACAGCUAUUAGCACGCAUGCCAUUCCCCACCUUGACCUCAGCAGGAAUGUGUAAAUUGUAACAUAUGGAAUGUAAGCCCUGUCGAGAUGUUUCAUAAAUCUGCCUGGCAAUGAGCAUCACAAGGCCCUGCAUGAGAACAGGUCCCAGAAACGGAGAGACAAAUAAAGAAACAUCAGAAAUAUUAAAACCAGCACCAAAAGGAGGCCCAGUAGAGAUGGGGUUUCACCAUGUUAGCCAGGAUAGUCUCAAUCUCCUGAUCUCAUGAUCCACCUGCCUUGGCCUCCCAAAGUGCUGGGAUUACAGGUGUGAGCCACCAUGCCCGGCC